CAAACCAUCCUUUUCUUCCUGUCCAUAACAUCUGAGGCAUGUGGUUAAAUGUCGCCCCCGUAAGGCAUGUAGACAAACGAAUAUUGCUUUUUAUUUACAAAAAAAAAAAAAAGAGAGAGAGAGGGAUGAGAAAAUAGCUUUUCCUUUUACUAAACCCUUAUGUGACCGACAUAUCAUACUGAUCCUGAGACUAGCGUCAAUCACUUUUUUGAGUUCAAAGAUCACCCUGGUUUCAAAAAUACUUUUCAUGCAGUUUAUAUAAACACGUUAUACGCGUAGAAACAACUACUAAUAUCUAUAACAACACAGAGAAAAUAGAAUUGCACGAAAACAAAAACGAGAGUGCUUAUCAAACUUGCAGCUUCAUAAGACUGAUAAGCCUCAAACAGUAAGCAAGCUUCAAGCUAACGAUAGCCUGCUGAGGUCGUGUCAGGAGAUGCACUUGACAAUGAUGACACCAGUCCGUCCUCAUCUACUGAGGAUGACAAUGAGACCGUUAUUAAAGAGAUGAUGCAGCAUGUUGAUAAUGAUGCAGCAUCAGCUCCCAUGGAUGAUGUUAAAGAUGCCAAGCAGACACAUCCACACCAUGAAGAGGAGAUAUCAAAUGAUGAUGGUGAUGAUGUCAUUCAAGAUCCGGACUAUACCCCAACCUGUGAUGAAUCCUCUGCCCCUGAAAAUGAAGACAGCCUAACUAUGGUGGCAACAACUUAAGAACAGCAGGAUGAGGGUGUUGAUUUAAACAAUGCAGGAAAAAAGAAAAGAAACACAGUAAACGCCUUAGUCCAAGAACAUGCAAGCAAAAUGAAUCCAAGCAGAAACGUCUCAAAGGAAUGUCAUAAAAGAGCAAAGGUGACAAAGAAAUAAGUGCAAAGGCUAUGGGUCCUCCCUGCAACUCCAAGUUCUGUUAGCGAAUCUCAACUCGAGACGUCCAAGUCCUUACAGAAGAGUAGCGGGAGUGGGUUUUGACAAGAUUUGAGCAACGAACAUCCGGGAAAAACAUUGCUUAUAGAUCACCACUUUGGUCACAAAAGUUAACAUAAAG